rnacentral:lncRNA from 1 species
CCAACUCCCAAGGAAUCCCCAAAUCGAGCAGGCAGCCAGCGCCCAGCAAGACUAACCUAGCGGCCGCCGGCUCGCUGCCACAGAGCUCAGCCUCACCGGAACGCCAGCCACCGUCCUCCGGCCGCCGGGCACCUGAUCCAGAUCUGCCGUUCGUGGAUGGGCGAACCAAAAGAAGAUGUCCCGUGUGUGGGAGGAGGCAACGGCGGCAGAGCAUCUAGCUCAUGCAAACGCGCAGCUACAGUUUGCAAAAUCAGCAGGCGCAAUCAGCAGGUAGUCCAACUCCAAUCCAUUUCCUUCUGAUGUUGAUCUUCAAUGUCUAGCCAACUAUAAAUUGCUGCUUAUUUUGGAACCCACCUAACUACUGAAUCCCAAGCUCUUUUUCCUGUUCAUGAAACUGAUGCAAACAUUUCAUCCAAUGAAACCUCUGAUUCAAACAUUGUACAAGAUCUUGCUCAUGAACCUGAAGUAUCUAAUCAGGGAUCUCAUGAUAACACUUUGCAAACUUCUAUUCUAAUUCAACCUGAUCCAGGACUCCGAAAACAAAUUUGUGAUUAUUCUACUGCCGAAAUCAGAUAUGCAGCGAGGACGGAAUAUUUGAAGAAAGGCCCAUGUCAGCCGUAUGGUCAUGAUUUCCCUUGCAACAUGUUCAUGUUGGAUUUUGUGAUUUUUGGUGGUCACAUCACCUAGUUGUCGAGAAUCUUGAACUGUUCUAAAUCAUUGGUUAUGUUAAUUUUCGAGUGCAUCUAGCUUUAUAGUUGAAUUUAUGAGAUUUGGUUCAACGGACUUGCAUUUGUCAAUCAAAAAAUUUGCACCUCAAUUGUUCCGCCCCGGCUAAGUUCAAUUCCUGGAUCCGCCACUGAAUGUAGUGAAGCAAACAAUGUUCUCGUUCCUUGAUCUCAGGUUCCCAUCUCCAUUCACCAAAGCUUGACAUCUUUGAGCCUGAGAAGGAAAAAAUAAAUGAAACUGCUAUCCUUGUACAACCUGUAGGGGAUGAGAUGCAUUUGGGGAAGUAAUUCAACUUCCACAAGAACAUAGAUCGCAUUGCUAUGUCCUCUGGCCACAAGUUUCUUAGCCUUGGCGCAUCUGUAGUGUAUAUGGCACCCGAGUGCAGAUAGCUGCCGGUUCUGUUGCAGCCGUCGAUGUGUGCAGCAUCACGCACUGCUACCCUCCAGCUUUGCAGCCUUGAUUUUUGAUGCAACGGUUUUGAGUGUCGUCAUACUUACUUGUCUUACACAUCAUCGUAUUGAUCUAUUCGCCCAUGCUUCACACCACUAAGAAAUAAAAAAGCUUGUUACAAAAAAUACUCAGCAUUAACAUGCUGUCAUUCACGGAGUUUACAUAUUUAGGGUGUAAAAUUCAGACACUGGAAAUGUCAUUUCAUUGACUAUGGCAAUAGAAGGAUGUCUCCAGCUACACAACUUCACAGUGUAGUGCAAUGCAAACAAUAACUGCUGAAUCUUAUGAAGAGCAGCUGCGGAUCUGCGACAAUUUUGAGAAGUUAUCACCUUUGUCAACAACAUAUUCUAAAAUUUGAACCUGGGGCCUUUUUCUUCCUUCUUAAGCUUUCGAAGGUCUUCCAUAAUAAUCUUCCUUGCGUACAUGGCAUAUAUAUUUUUAGCGUAUGGAACUCUUUGUUCACAUAAAUGGAGACUAGUGGGACCACGAUGAUUCACUUGAUGACCCGAGAAGGCUAUCAAAAGGGAAAUUAACAGAGGUCUCUUUCAGCACUCAAUACUCCUGCACACCAGAAGCAACUAGGCACCGAGUGAGAGACACUGAAACUGGUAAGAUUGUUAACACUUUUAGAGGAACCAUGAGAUGUGCAUCGGUUCCAGCGUGGGGGCAUCUUAGGAUGACCCCGCUGGAAGUGACGAGUUGGUGAAGACUGUUGUCGAGGCGCCAAAGUCUGCUGCUCAUGUUGAGGACGAUGGCUUAGGGCUUGGCGCCUCAUCCUACCCGCAGCUUUUGCAUUACUGAACUAUUAGGCGCUACUUGAUCAUGGAGCCGCCUCUGUAUAUGGUUCAUCUGCUCCUAGAGUUGUAAAAAAAUCUUGCCUUAAAUCCUCAUAAUGUGGCGCAGGUGCCUCAUUGCGAAGGACAGCAUGUUAUCGUUGGGGAGUGAUCACCCAUCAACUAACGAGUUGUGGAGACAUGGCAUCCAUGCACCCCGUCGAGUAUCAACAAUGUUGAUAAAGACUAUAGGGCCUGGUAGAACCGGUGCUCUUUGCACGAGUGCCGGUUCCAGAACUCCGGGCUCGCCUCACCAACUCCUUGACCUUGGAUGGCUUGUAUGUCCAAUUGUCGGGGAACAAGUCAUAUGGAGGGGUUCAGAUGCUUCGGUAGGUGAACACCUUGUUAGCUAGGUUCCUAGCGCCGAGGGACCAAUCCUUCUUCGGCACUGUGCUUUGAGCGAUGUGGGAAGCUAUAUGCUGGUGGAGGAAUUGUACCUUGGAUUACUUCCUUAUGUAGUUGCAUAGAGGAUGCGGGAUUUCCGCAAAUGAGUGUUGGCCAUGAGCCUACGCGAGAUCGUGCGCUAAAUUGUUAUGAGAUUGUAAGAUUUCAGUUUGUAGCAUUUGGUAGUAUAUCUAUGCAAGAAGCUAAAUAUCUUCACAAAUGCUGAUACACUUUGAGGCUUGGGGUUUGGUUAGGGAUUGGCUCCAACUUGUACACAUUGACACCGCCGCUUGGGCAUUGGAGAGGUCCACAAAAGAUUGCUGGAUCAAUAUGUCCGAAGCAACGUCUGAACAGGAGUGCAGUGGCAUCCAUGACCAUGUUCAUGAGUUGGAUCUGAAAGGAAUGUGAGGGUCUUCCGCUACAAAUCCGCCCCUUUGACAAUUCUCAUGGAAGGGAUAGAAACGAGGCAAGACUUUAGGUCAUCGCGGGUGCAAAACGUUUGGGUCAACUCAUGCCGGCAGAGUUGUGGCCUUCUUUGUAAGCGUCGUAUUGUAACCUCAGCUCUCUAUUUAUCCCUUAAUUAAUGGAUGAGCCAAAGCUUGUGCCUCUGUUUUUUUUAAACUAAAUAUCUUUACCAAGUUUGUACUUGGAUAAUGAAAAUAGCUACCUAGCUUUCUACCCUAGAUAAAUUUUGAUACAAUAAAUAAAGCUCACCUACUUGUUUAACGCGUCAAUUAUUACCACCCCUGCCUUUCUAUCUCCAUAUAUCAG